GGGCCAGUAGCUCAACCGGUAGAGCGUUUGACUCUUAAUCAAAAUGUUGGGGGUUCGAGCCCUCCCUGGCCCA
rnacentral:tRNA from 1 species